GAACCACUUCGAGUGGGGAUUAGUGGCGAACGGGUGAGUACACGUGGGCAAUCUGCCCUGCACUCUGGGACAAGCCCUGGAAACGGGGUCUAAUACCGGAUACUGACCCGCUUGGGCAUCCAAGCGGUUCGAAAGCUCCGGCGGUGCAGGAUGAGCCCGCGGCCUAUCAGCUUGUUGGUGAGGUAAUGGCUCACCAAGGCGACGACGGGUAGCCGGCCUGAGAGGGCGACCGGCCACACUGGGACUGAGACACGGCCCAGACUCCUACGGGAGGCAGCAGUGGGGAAUAUUGCACAAUGGGCGAAAGCCUGAUGCAGCGACGCCGCGUGAGGGAUGACGGCCUUCGGGUUGUAAACCUCUUUCAGCAGGGAAGAAGCGAAAGUGACGGUACCUGCAGAAGAAGCGCCGGCUAACUACGUGCCAGCAGCCGCGGUAAUACGUAGGGCGCGAGCGUUGUCCGGAAUUAUUGGGCGUAAAGAGCUCGUAGGCGGCUUGUCGCGUCGGUUGUGAAAGCCCGGGGCUUAACCCCGGGUCUGCAGUCGAUACGGGCAGGCUAGAGUUCGGUAGGGGAGAUCGGAAUUCCUGGUGUAGCGGUGAAAUGCGCAGAUAUCAGGAGGAACACCGGUGGCGAAGGCGGAUCUCUGGGCCGAUACUGA
rnacentral:rRNA from 1 species